rnacentral:rRNA from 1 species
AUUGAACGCUGGCGGCAGGCCUAACACAUGCAAGUCGAGCGGAGCGGCGGACGGGUGAGUAAUGCCUAGGAAUCUGCCUGGUAGUGGGGGAUAACGUCCGGAAACGGGCGCUAAUCCCGCAUACUUUCAGAUGAGCCUAGGUCGGUUUCGCUCUUUGGUGGGGUAAAGGCCUACCUAGGCGACGAACCGUAACUUGUGUGUGCGGACGAUCAGUCACACUGGAACUUAGACACGGUCCAGACUCCUACGGCAGGCAGCAGUGGGGAAUGUUGGACAAUGGGCAAAAGCCUGGUCCAGCCAUGCCGCGUGUGUGAAGAAGGUCGUCGGAGUGUAAAGCACUUUAAGUUGGGAGGCGUUACCAACAGAAGAAGCACCGGCUAACUUCGUGCCAGCCGCCGCGGUAAUAC